rnacentral:rRNA from 1 species
UACGUAGGGCGCAAGCGUUGUCCGGAAUUAUUGGGCGUAAAGAGCUCGUAGGCGGUUUGUCGCGUCUGCUGUGAAAACCUAAGGCUCAACCUUGGGCUUGCAGUGGGUACGGGCAGACUAGAGUGCGGUAGGGGUGACUGGAAUUCCUGGUGUAGCGGUGGAAUGCGCAGAUAUCAGGAGGAACACCGAUGGCGAAGGCAGGUCACUGGGCCGCAACUGACGCUGAGGCGCGACAGCGUGGGGGAGCAAACAGG